UACGGGGGGGGCAAGCGUUGUUCGGAAUUACUGGGCGUAAAGGGCUCGUAGGUGGCCAACUAAGUCAGACGUGAAAUCCCUCGGCUUAACCGGGGAACUGCGUCUGAUACUGGAUGGCUUGAGUUUGGGAGAGGGACGCGGAAUUCCAGGUGUAGCGGUGAAAUGCGUAGAUAUCUGGAGGAACACCGGUGGCGAAGGCGGUUCUCUGGGACGGUACUGACGCUGAGACGCGAAAGCGUGGGGAGCGAACAGG
rnacentral:rRNA from 1 species